rnacentral:rRNA from 1 species
AGAGUUUGAUCCUGGCUCAGGAUGAACGCUGGCGGCGUGCCUAACACAUGCAAGUCGAGCGAUCUUCUUCGGAAGAGAGCGGCGGACGGGUGAGUAACGCGUGGGUAACCUGCCUCAUACACAUGGAUAACAUACCGAAAGGUAUGCUAAUACAAGAUGAUAUAAGAGAUUCGCAUGGAUUUCUUAUCAAAGCUCCGGCGGUAUGAGAUGGACCCGCGUCUGAUUAGCUAGUUGGUAAGGUAACGGCUUACCAAGGCGACGAUCAGUAGCCGACCUGAGAGGGUGAUCGGCCACACUGGAACUGAGACACGGUCCAAACUCCUACGGGAGGCAGCAGUGGGGAAUAUUGCACAAUGGGCGAAAGCUUGAUGCAGCAACGCCGCGUGAGCGAUGAAGGCCUUCGGGUCGUAAAGCUCUGUCCUCAAGGAAGAUAAUGACGGUACUUGAGGAGGAAGCCCCGGCUAACUACGUGCCAGCAGCCGCGGUAAUACGUAGGGGGCUAGCGUUAUCCGGAUUUACUGGGCGUAAAGGGUGCGUAGGUGGUUUCUUAAGUCAGGAGUGAAAGGCUACGGCUCAACCGUAGUAAGCUCUUGAAACUGGGAAACUUGAGUGCAGGAGAGGAAAGUGGAAUUCCUAGUGUAGCGGUGAAAUGCGUAGAUAUUAGGAGGAACACCAGUAGCGAAGGCGGCUUUCUGGACUGUAACUGACACUGAGGCACGAAAGCGUGGGGAGCAAACAGGAUUAGAUACCCUGGUAGUCCACGCCGUAAACGAUGAGUACUAGGUGUCGGGGGUUACCCCCCUCGGUGCCGCAGCUAACGCAUUAAGUACUCCGCCUGGGGAGUACGCUCGCAAGAGUGAAACUCAAAGGAAUUGACGG